rnacentral:rRNA from 1 species
GACGAACGCUGGCGGCGUGCCUAAUACAUGCCAGUUGAGCGCUGAAGGUUGGUACUUGUACCAACUGGAUGAGCAGCGAACGGGUGAGUAACGCGUGGGGAAUCUGCCUUUGAGCGGGGGACAACAUUUGGAAACGAAUGCUAAUACCGCAUAAAAACUUUAAACACAAGUUUUAAGUUUGAAAGAUGCAAUUGCAUCACUCAAAGAUGAUCCCGCGUUGUAUUAGCUAGUUGGUGAGGUAAAGGCUCACCAAGGCGAUGAUACAUAGCCGACCUGAGAGGGUGAUCGGCCACAUUGGGACUGAGACACGGCCCAAACUCCUGCGGGAGGCAGCAGUAGGGAAUCUUCGGCAAUGGACGAAAGUCUGACCGAGCAACGCCGCGUGAGUGAAGAAGGUUUUCGGAUCGUAAAACUCUGUUGGUAGAGAAGAACGUUGGUGAGAGUGGAAAGCUCAUCAAGUGACGGUAACUACCCAGAAAGGGACGGCUAACUACGUG